rnacentral:lncRNA from 1 species
GUGUGUAGCACCUCUCCCUUCACUCUCUUUCUCCUGUUUGGCCGUGUACCAAGUUCCUGCCUGUCUUCUGUCUUCACCCGUGACUUGCCUCAAGUAGUUGGCUCCUUUCCCACCGGCUACUUUGUAACUGCGAAUAUGACAACAUGACGGUGAUUCACAGAUGCCAAAAUAUGACGAGCAGAGCAAAUCUGUGUUCCAGAUAUGAUAAGGAAACAGCUGGCAACAUCUGGUGACAUGUUUGGUUGUCAUUACUUGGAGGAGGAUCUACUCUGAUACUGGUAUCUAGUGGGUAGAAUCCAGGGAUGCUACUGACAUAUUAAAAUGCCGAAGACAGUUCCUACUCAUAACAAAAACUACCCAG